AACGAACGUUAGCGGCGCGCUUAACACAUGCAAGUCGCACGAGAAAGGGCUUCGGCCCCGGUAAAGUGGCGCACGGGUGAGUAACACGUGGAUAACCUACCCUUGAGCAGGGGAUAACAUCCCGAAAGGGGUGCUAAUACCGCAUAAGACCACGGCUCCGAAAGGAGCUGAGGUAAAAGCUGGCCUCUAUAUAUAAGCUAGCACUUGAGGACGGGUCCGCGGCGCAUCAGGUAGUUGGCGGGGUAAUGGCCCACCAAGCCUUAGACGCGUAGCUGGUCUGAGAGGAUGAUCAGCCACACUGGAACUGAGACACGGUCCAGACUCCUACGGGAGGCAGCAGUGGGGAAUCUUGCGCAAUGGACGAAAGUCUGACGCAGCGACGCCGCGUGUGUGAUGAAGGCCUUCGGGUC
rnacentral:rRNA from 1 species